GUGGGGAAUAUUGGGCAAUGGGGGAAACCCUGACCCAGCGACGCCGCGUGAGGGAAGACGGCCUUCGGGUUGUAAACCUCUUUUGUACGGGAAGAAGGAAGUGACGGUACUGUACGAAUAAGUCCCGGCUAACUACGUGCCAGCAGCCGCGGUAAUACGUAGGGGACGAGCGUUGUCCGGAAUUACUGGGCGUAAAGGGCGCGCAGGCUGUGCUGCAAGUCAGCUGGGAAAUGUCUGGGCUUAACCCGGGCAUGCGGUUGAGACUGCAGUGCUGGAGUGCUGUAGAGGCAAGUGGAAUUCCCAGUGUAGCGGUGAAAUGCGUAGAUAUUGGGAAGAACACCGGUGGCGAAGGCGACUUGCUGGGCAGCAACUGACGCUGAGGCGCGAAAGCCAGGGGAGCAAACGGGAUUAGAAACCCUUGUAGUCC
rnacentral:rRNA from 1 species